GGUUGUGGCCCAGUGGUAGAGCGCUUGUCUCCCAUACAUAGGGCCCUGGGUUCAGUCCUCAGCACCA
rnacentral:tRNA from 1 species